UACGUAGGUGGCAAGCGUUGUCCGGAAUUAUUGGGCGUAAAGCGCGCGCAGGCGGUCCUUUAAGUCUGAUGUGAAAGCCCACGGCUCAACCGUGGAGGGUCAUUGGAAACUGGGGGACUUGAGUGCAGAAGAGGAGAGCGGAAUUCCACGUGUAGCGGUGAAAUGCGUAGAGAUGUGGAGGAACACCAGUGGCGAAGGCGGCUCUCUGGUCUGUAACUGACGCUGAGGUGCGAGAGCGUGGGGAGCGAACCGG
rnacentral:rRNA from 1 species